ACAGCUGUUUUUAACACCCAAAUCCCGAAUGUGGAACUGAGCACAAUUCUGAUAAGAUCAUGCAUGUGUGCGUGAAUACUUCCACAGCACCACAUUGUUUACACUUUUGCUUGAUUGAGUGAGUGACUUUUGGAAAUUGAGUGAUUUUGUUUGAGUUAAUUUUGUUUUUGGAAGGCAAAUGUGAGUUUAAAUGGAAAUUGUUGUAUUAAAAUCGAAUGAAAUUAAAUCGACAAUUCAUUAUUUCCUCUUUUUUCAUUCAUUCGGAAAUUAUUCAAUGAUGUUCGCAGUGAAUCACACGAAAAAUAUAUCCCAUCAUUUCCACAAAAUCCCAUUUCCAUUGCGUUAUUUAGUCGCAUGCAAAAUAACGCAUGACACUUGCGAAAACUAACUGACAGCACCACGAACGCGCUGUAUUGUUGUACACAAUUUUCAGUGUUUGACAGUUUGCUCAGUCAACACAUAUUACGUGCGCAACAAAUACACGAUUAUCUGAUGUCACACAGUGAAAUCCAUUCCAACAGCGCAACCACAAGACAGUCGAGCUAUUCACAGGGAUAGAGAAUCAUCGUCCAUCCUUUGCAGUGGCUGAAGAAUAGAAAAAAAAAUUCACUUUUUCCACAUUCGACAAGGGCGAACGGUAUUUUAUCUAUAGCAUAGAUUGUGUUGUGUAGAAAGGGGAAGUUCUCGAAACUGAACAAUGAGUGUGCGUAUGAAAGCAACGAAGUGUCCUUCAGACGAGAUUUCAUUGACGAACAAGGUUGCCGUCAACCCAACCGACUUUCCCGAUGACGUUGAACAUAUUCGUGUGUCAACUGGACCUGGUCAACAUUUUGUAUUUUCAAUCAUUCGAACACCAGAAUGCCCGAAAAACAAUGUUGGCUUCUCGUUGGUACAGAGAAAAUGGGCGGCUAUUUCGGUCAAUCAAGACAUCGACGUGAAACUGCAUCGCUUCAAUCCGCAAAGCAAAACAGAAUUCUUGGAUACCGUCACAUUAGAAGUGGAUUUCUUGGCUAAGAAAACCAUAUCCCAAGAGCCCUAUGACACGGAUAAAAUGUCGAAGAAUUUCAUGAUGCAAUUCGCUGGAAUGCCAUUGACGGUGGGCCAACCGUUGGCAUAUCAGUUUGAAGAUAAGAAACUUCUUGCCUUAGUUGUUAAAUCGUUAGAAGCUGUUGAUCCAGCCGCCGUAAUGUCAGAUAAGGAUAAGGUGGAACUGAAGAAAACGGUCUUUGGAAAAUUGAUGGGCAAUGCUAAUGUAAUAUUUGAGAAAGCCGAGAGCUCGUCCGUCAAUUUAACUGGCAACGCCAAAGGAAAAAUCGUUCGUCAGUCAAUCAUCAAUCCGGAUUGGGAUUUUGGCAAAAUGGGAAUCGGUGGUUUGGAUAAGGAGUUCAAUGCGAUAUUCCGUCGUGCAUUUGCUUCUCGAGUAUUUCCACCGGAAUUGGUUGAGCAGUUGGGAUGCAAGCACGUUAAGGGUAUCUUGUUGUUCGGUCCCCCAGGUACUGGCAAGACUUUGAUGGCCCGUCAAAUCGGAAACAUGUUGAAUGCACGUGAGCCUAAAAUUGUGAACGGUCCUCAGAUUCUCGACAAGUAUGUCGGUGAAUCAGAAGCGAACAUUCGUCGUCUGUUUGCCGAUGCUGAAGAAGAGGAGAAACGUUUGGGCCCAAACAGUGGAUUGCAUAUUAUCAUUUUCGAUGAAAUCGAUGCCAUCUGUAAGGCUCGUGGUUCGGUCGCUGGAAACAGUGGUGUUCAUGAUACCGUUGUCAAUCAGUUACUGUCCAAAAUCGACGGUGUCGAUCAGUUGAAUAACAUUCUUGUGAUUGGUAUGACCAACAGAAAGGAUAUGAUUGAUGAUGCUCUGAUGCGUCCUGGUCGUCUUGAGGUUCAAAUGGAAAUUGGAUUACCGAAUGAAGAUGGUCGAUUGCAAAUUCUCAAUAUUCAUACGGCGCGUAUGAGAGACUUCAAGAAAAUCAAUCCCGAUGUUAAUCUCAAAGAAUUGGCAGUGAAGACGAAAAAUUUCAGCGGUGCUGAAUUGGAAGGUUUAGUGCGUGCCGCACAGUCAACAGCAAUGAAUCGCCUGAUCAAAGCCGCUUCAAAGGUUGAAGUCGAUCCCGAAGCUAUUGCCAAAUUGCUUGUUAACCAUGACGAUUUCAUGCACGCAUUGGCAAAUGAUGUAAAACCAGCAUUCGGUACAGCCACCGAAGCGUUGGAAACUUAUUUGUCGCGCGGCAUUAUCAAUUGGGGAACACCAGUGUCAGGCUUACUCGAAGAUGGAUCGUUGUACACACAGCAAGCUCGUGCUCCAGAAGCGUCGGGCUUGGUGUCAAUUCUGCUCGAAGGUCCACCAAACAGUGGCAAAACGGCGUUGGCCGCCAAAUUGGCUCUCUUGUCAGACUUUCCAUUCAUCAAAAUCUGCUCUCCUGAUGACAUGGUUGGAUUCACUGAAUCGGCCAAGUGUCUACAAAUUCGUAAGAUCUUCGACGAUGCUUAUCGUUCACAAUUGAGCUGUAUUCUCGUUGACAAUGUUGAACGUCUCCUUGACUACGGUCCCAUCGGUCCAAGAUAUUCCAAUUUGACGUUGCAAGCCUUGCUUGUGCUGUUGAAGAAACAACCACCAAAGGGACGUAAACUAUUAAUCCUCUGCACAACUAGCCGAAGACAAGUGUUGGAGGACAUGGAGAUGAUAUCCGCAUUCACAUCGACUUUGCAUGUUCCAAAUUUAUCGAAGCCAGAGCAUGUAUUAGCUGUACUCGAGGAAAAUGAUCUCUUCAAUAAAUCCGAUUUGGCAUCGUUGGCGAAGCGAAUGAAUGGUUACAAAGUAUUCAUCGGUAUCAAGAAAUUGUUGGAUUUGAUUGAUAUGGCGCGACAAACAGAGCCGCAGUACCGUAUCAUCAAAUUUUUGACUAAGCUAGAAGAAGAGGGCGGUUUGGUGCCUAACUGAAUACCUGACAGUGAUCAGCAUGAUCAGCAGUUGCAGGCUCGCGUUGUUAAUUUCAACGAUGUGUUCUAGACAGCUUGCUAUGCAUGCAGACAACAACAAAAAAUGUGUCAAACAUUCAUGCAACUCACAUUCAGCAAAUCCAUUUUUAAAAUCUAAUAUUAAACCGCAUACAAACCAACAACAGCCACCCGGAAUGUGAGAGAAUGUUAAAGUAUCAUUAAUCUAUAAUAUUUAUCAAACAAAUAGACAAAAAAAACUCUUUAUAACAAAUGUAUCAAUGCUUUGAAGCAAAGCCGCCAUGCAGAUGAAGAAAAGACAAGUGUCAAGUGGGAUUUGUUAGGCAUACAUUCCGUAGAAGAAGAAGAAGAAGACAUGAAAAAUUAAGCUCAUUUUGAAUCAUUCCCAGCAUUUGCACGGCGAUGGCAACAACUAGCAAAGGAAUAUAUAUAUACAUUAACCCAAGGUCGAUAGAACAAUUCAAUACAACAUGUAUAUUUUAAGGCAGUAUUUUCAAUGUGCAUUGUAUGAUAAAAAAAUACCAUUGGUUUAACUAUAUUUCAUUUGAUUCGUUCAACGAGAUUGUUCAAUUUUGUUUUUCGUUUAUUCCACAUCAUCUAGUCAUCCCUUGCAUUUCGUUUUUUUUUUAAAUCCGAAAGUCAAUUACGAUUACAUAAAAUGUGAAAAUAAUACAAACAAUGCUUCUUUUGUUCUUCCCCAUUUAUUUGAAUAUAGUUUGGUAGAUUGGAAAUGUUCCAAAUAUAAGAAAAAAGAAAAUGGCUUAAAGCAAUACAAUUAUUAUAUGCAUAAAAAAAAGUAACAAAUGAAGAUAUCUUAAAAGAAAACUAGAUGAAAAAAAAAUUAACAAAAUACUGAGAAAAAUAAAAUAUUUCAAUUAUUUAAUGUUAUUAAGAUGAAGAUCGAGAUGAAGAGGGAAAAGAUCACAAAAAAUCUAAUAUUUGAAUAAUAAACGAAAAAGGAACUCUUAAGACAUAACCAAUUUAUUUGAAAAAUAUUGUUCGUUCAUUCUAUUUUUUAGUUUAAUUUCUAUUUAUUCUAUCUAUUUGUGUAAAAUGACUAAUAUAGUCAACAAGUUUUUCUAUUAUGUGCAUUUUGUUCAAUGAUUUGAGUAGAGAUGAACAAAUUUAGUUUCAUUCGAUUGAAUGUUUUUAACGAAAAUUGAUGUAUCAAUGAAUGGCUUGCUAAGGUCAUAUAUUGAUCGAAUGCUUUAUUCUUCUCUUAGUCGAUUUUUAAAAAAUUGAUUUCAAGGUUCACUGAUUUAAUUUUCUGUUCCAAUAACAAUCAUAACAAAUGAAUUCAUUUUCUGAUUUUGGAAAAUAUGCGAGCGGAAUUUAUGAAAAACAGACAACUAUUGUGCUAGGAAAUUUAUUGAAAUUUCAUUUGCAUUCAGUCCAGAUUAACAAAAAGAAUGCAAAUUGUAAAUAAAGAGUUAAAACCUUGUUGAAAAGUUGAAAAUGGCUCGUCUAGGUGUGUUAUACGAAAUUAGAAUUUUCAUUUCAGAUCUAAAUCGCUUCUGUAUACCUUCAAUCUCACCUGCUAGCUACGCUAUGCUACACUUUAAUCUAUCCUCUCAUGACAACCUACACUAGUGAACAACAUUUUUCUCUCUUUUUGGAUUUUUUUCACGAGUUGGUCUUAGACCGCGUAGUGAUUGCACCUCAUUUAUAGUUAUAAUUUUAUUUCAUGGCAUUUGUUAACAUUUGUUAACAUUUCGAAAAACAAAUUCUUUCAUGUAAAUAAAAACAAAAUUAUUUAAACUAAAAAAAAAA